rnacentral:rRNA from 1 species
UUAUCGGAGAGUUUGAUCCUGGCUCAGGACGAACGCUGGCGGCGUGCCUAAUACAUGCAAGUCGAGCGGACAGAUGGGAGCUUGCUCCCUGAUGUUAGCGGCGGACGGGUGAGUAACACGUGGGUAACCUGCCUGUAAGACUGGGAUAACUCCGGGAAACCGGGGCUAAUACCGGAUGGUUGUUUGAACCGCAUGGUUCAAACAUAAAAGGUGGCUUCGGCUACCACUUACAGAUGGACCCGCGGCGCAUUAGCUAGUUGGUGAGGUAAUGGCUCACCAAGGCAACGAUGCGUAGCCGACCUGAGAGGGUGAUCGGCCACACUGGGACUGAGACACUACCAGACUCCUACGGGAGGCAGCAGUAGGGAAUCUUCCGCAAUGGACGAAAGUCUGACGGAGCAACGCCGCGUGAGUGAUGAAGGUUUUCGGAUCGUAAAGCUCUGUUGUUAGGGAAGAACAAGUACCGUUCGAAUAGGGCGGUACCUUGACGGUACCUAACCAGAAAGCCACGGCUAACUACGUGCCAGCAGCCGCGGUAAUACGUAGGUGGCAAGCGUUGUCCGGAAUUAUUGGGCGUAAAGGGCUCGCAGGCGGUUUCUUAAGUCUGAUGUGAAAGCCCCCGGCUCAACCGGGGAGGGUCAUUGGAAACUGGGGAACUUGAGUGCAGAAGAGGAGAGUGGAAUUCCACGUGUAGCGGUGAAAUGCGUAGAGAUGUGGAGGAACACCAGUGGCGAAGGCGACUCUCUGGUCUGUAACUGACGCUGAGGAGCGAAAGCGUGGGGAGCGAACAGGAUUAGAUACCCUGGUAGUCCACGCCGUAAACGAUGAGUGCUAAGUGUUAGGGGGUUUCCGCCCCUUAGUGCUGCAGCUAACGCAUUAAGCACUCCGCCUGGGGAGUACGGUCGCAAGACUGAAACUCAAAGGAAUUGACGGGGGCCCGCACAAGCGGUGGAGCAUGUGGUUUAAUUCGAAGCAACGCGAAGAACCUUACCAGGUCUUGACAUCCUCUGACAAUCCUAGAGAUAGGACGUCCCCUUCGGGGGCAGAGUGACAGGUGGUGCAUGGUUGUCGUCAGCUCGUGUCGUGAGAUGUUGGGUUAAGUCCCGCAACGAGCGCAACCCUUGAUCUUAGUUGCCAGCAUUCAGUUGGGCACUCUAAGGUGACUGCCGGUGACAAACCGGAGGAAGGUGGGGAUGACGUCAAAUCAUCAUGCCCCUUAUGACCUGGGCUACACACGUGCUACAAUGGACAGAACAAAGGGCAGCGAAACCGCGAGGUUAAGCCAAUCCCACAAAUCUGUUCUCAGUUCGGAUCGCAGUCUGCAACUCGACUGCGUGAAGCUGGAAUCGCUAGUAAUCGCGGAUCAGCAUGCCGCGGUGAAUACGUUCCCGGGCCUUGUACACACCGCCCGUCACACCACGAGAGUUUGUAACACCCGAAGUCGGUGAGGUAACCUUUUAGGAGCCAGCCGCCGAAGGUGGGACAGAUGAUUGGGGUGAAGUCGUAACAAGGUAGCCGUAUCGGAAGGUGCGGCUGGAUCACCUCCUUU